rnacentral:miRNA from 1 species
CCCCCAGAUGUUGCUGAACUACAACUCCCAUGAUUCCCUGGCUGUUUCAUUGAAAGAAUCAUGGGAGUUGUAGUUCAGCAACAUCUGAGGG